GUAUAUUGUUGCAGUGGCUCAGGUUUGCAUUUUUCCUGCAAAUUUAAUCCUUCUGAUGGAUGAAUUCAUGAAGCCCCCUCCCUCACAACCCCAAAUCCACUGCUUGGGAAAAAGUCGUCUGGCUAUGGAAUUUAGUUUAAGUUUCCAUAGUGCUGUCUCUUUUUCUCGGUAUUGGACAUGGCAUUUAACCUCUUGUCUGCCUUAGGGAUGAAAUAAAACAAAAUAAAUAAAUAA
rnacentral:misc_RNA from 1 species